rnacentral:rRNA from 1 species
AGCUCCAAUAGCGUAUAUUAAUGUUGCUGCAGUUAAAAAGCUCGUAGUCGAUUUUCUGGUUUGUCAAACUCGGACUGCACCAAAUAGGUGCAUGUUUCGAAUCGUUUGCGGACCAUCCUUCUGGAAAAUGCUUCUUCUCUUGAUUGAGUGGUUGCAUGAUCCAGAUCGUUUACUGUGAGCAAAUGGGAGUGUUCAAAGCAGACUUUCUGUUUGAACCGUUUAGCAUGGAAUAAUAAAAUUGAACUUAGGUUUAAUUUUGUUGGCUUCAUAAACCCAAGUUAUGAUCGAUAGGGAUGGUUGGGGGUGCUCGUAUUCAGGGGGGAGCGGUGAAAUGCAAUGAGCCUCUGAAGACGGACUAAUGCGAAAGCAUUCACCAAGGACAUCUUCUUUGAUCAAGAAC